CAGCAACAGCAACAGAAUCAGCACCAUCAGUCACUCGCCUCGCACUUCCACCUCUUACACCUCGUUGAGAAUUUAGCUGAAGUUAUCGAGAGUGGAACUCGGGAUCAGCACUCUGAUGCUUUGAUUACUGAGUUGAACAAUCACUUUGAGAAGUGCCAGCAGUUACUGAAUUCGAUUUCCGUCUCUAUUAACACAAAAGCUAUGACAGUUGAGGGUCAGAAGAGAAAGGUAGAAGAAAGUGAGCAACUGCUAAAUCAGAGGAGGGACCUAAUAGCCAAGUACAGAAACUCUGUUGAAGAGCUUAU
rnacentral:misc_RNA from 1 species